AUCGCUUUGAUGGUCAAAAUCAACCAGAAUGAUCACAUUUUGCUUAUAUAAAUCACACACCAUAAAAUUAACUUUUAUACUGUAAAACUGAGUUUUACAGUCAAAAGACAGUUUUUUUAUUGCAGCAUGCAUCCUUUAUUAUUUUUAAGCAUGACACCAACAUUAGUCAUUCUAAAUUGCUAAAAUGUAAACCUAGAUGAUCAAUUUCAAAAUUUCAAAUAGUUCGGGUAUAAAACAAAAUUUUGAAAUCUCGCAGCCACCAUACGCAAAUAGCCAAAAGCUCCGGCAGUUCCAGUACAUUCAACCCUUACAAACAGAGAGAGAGAGAGAGAGAGAGAGAGUUCCUUCACCUCUGCUAACAAACAUCUCCAAUGCUUAUAUGCUGCACAACCAAAAACAGAAACAGGAGACUAACAAGGGUAUGAUAUCUUGUUUGCAAAACUUCCCAGAUCAUCAUCAUCACACAAUCAUACUCUCCCCCUUAAAUUCCACCAAAAAUAUAUACAAAAGCCGACAGCAAAUAUCUACAAUCUUAUAAACUCCUAAAAUCAGCAGCAGAACAAGAUAUUCAAGCUUACCUGCAAAUAACAAAAAUAGAACCGCUACAAAGAAUCCCUUUUCUUUACACAUUGCCAGUAAAUCUGCUGAGUUGUUAAUCAUUUUAAUCAUUUGCUCGCGGAUCCAAUGCAGAUGCAUCUAACUGAAGCUUUUGGAGGAUACAGCUCAAUCAAACCACCAAAUGAUUNUUUUUAAAAAAUAAAAUAUAAAUUUUUAAAUAACAAAGGGAGAAAAUGAAAAUGUAUUAACAGAAAUUUUUUCUUUAAUUUAGCCUAAUCAAAAAUACAUACCCCAGCAAUAUAAAUGAGUUCUCAUAAUAUCAAAAAUCGCUUUGAUGGUCAAAAUCAACCAGAAUUAUCACAUUUUGCUUAUAUUAUAAAAAUCACACACCAUAAAAUUAACUUUUAUACUGCAAAACUGAGUUUUACAGUCAAAAGACAGUUUUUUUAUUGCAGCAUGCAUCCUUUAUUAUUUUUAAGCAUGACACCAAUAUUAGUCAUUCUAAAUUGCUAAAAUGAAAACCUCGAUGAUCAAUUUCAAAAUUUCAAUAGUUCAGGUAUAAAACAAAAAUCUCGCAGCCACCAUACGCAAAUAGCCAAAAGCUCCGGCAGUUCCGGUACAUUCAACCCUUACAAACAGAGAGAGAGAGAGAGAGAGAGAGAGAGAGAGAGAGAGUUCCUUCACCUCUGCUGACAAACAUCUCCAAUGCUUAUACGCUGCACAACCAAAAACAGAAACAGGAGACUAACAAGGGCAUGAUAUCUUGUUUGCAAAACUUCCCAGAUCCUCAUCAUCACGCAAUCAUACUCUCCCCCUUAAAUUCCACCAAAAAUAUAUACAAAAGCCGACGGCAAAUAUCUACAAUCUUAUAAACUCCUAAAAUCAGCAGCAGAACAAGAUAUUCAAGCUUACCUGCAAAUAACAAAAAUAGAACUGCUACAAAGAAUCCCUUUUCUUUACACAUAGCCAGUAAAUCUGCAGAGCUGUUAAUCAUUUUAAUCAUUUGCUCGCGGAUCCAAUGCAGAUGCAUCUAACUGAAGCUUUUGGAGGAUACAGCUCAAUCAAACCACCAAAUGAUUUCACAAAAAAUGUUAUUAUAUAGUGGCUAAGAAACUCGAUUUACCCAUAAAUAAAUGACAAUAAUGUAGCUCUUCCUGAAAAUUUCCCAUAGCAACAAAUUUCUCAUUGUACACUGGCAACUGUUAAAGACUAAACAAAAUGCAUAAAAUUUUUUAAGACUCCUGUUUCCUCUUGCAAAAGAGGAAAAAGAGUUAAAAAUGUCAAUCUUUGGUGCCGACGAAGGCAAAACUAUAGAACUAUGUCCGCAAUUUGCAAACUCAUCUAAUAUAUAAAAUUUAUAACCAUCAGUGUCUACAAAUAACAGUGUUAUGUAAAUAGCAGGCCCCACCACAAAAGCAAGAAUCAGUAGCCAAAAUUUCCCUAGGACUCCCUAGUAAGUGACCUGAGGAAAUGGUUCAUCACUAUGUACAACCUCAAGUGUUUCCGAGAGUUCUCUACUUCGGUAGAUUGGAUAAGAAAAUCUUUUCUGCUCCAACAGUUGCAAGAGUCUAUCAAAGAGCAGAUAUUAAGCAACUGUCGGAUCAAACACGAGCACUUACGAAGGCAUUUUACAACACAGGUUCGGUUAAAAAGUUGAACCAAAGUUGCUGAGGACAAGAAAAGUAUACACAAAAAAGAAAUUUAUGGAAAAGACGGAUUAGAAUACCAACGAAUGCUUAAAGGCUUUACACGUGAAAUGAAAACAGAUGCAUUCGUAACCGAAAGCACAUAAGAUAAAAAAAUAUAAUUGGAACAAAGAAAAUUCAAAAACUAGUUCUUUCAAGGGCACUUUGGAAAACUAAUUGGGUUAAAAAGAUAAGAUACAUAAUCUAAUCAGAAGGAAGAAAAUCCAAAAAUUAGUUCUUACAAUGGCUCUUUGGAAAACAGGUUCAGUUAAAAAGAGGAACCUGAAUUGCCACAGAUGAGAAAUCUAUUUGAGUUUAAUAGAUGAAAAUGGACCAACGAAGAGGAGGAAUGUUUCUAAAGCUACUGCGAGUGAAAAAACAUUUCAGAUAAAUAAUACAAUCAAAAGACAGAAAAAUCCAGAAACUAGUUGCACAUAUUCCUAUCCAAGAAGCUGACCAGGAAAUAUAAGUACUCCCACUUCUGAGACUUCAAUUCAAC
rnacentral:lncRNA from 1 species